rnacentral:rRNA from 1 species
AUUGAACGCUGGCGGCAGGACUAACACAUGCAAGUCGAGCGGAGCUGCGGACGGGUGAGUAAUGCCUAGGAAUCUGCCUGGUAGUGGGGGAUAACGCCCGGAAACGGGCGCUAAUACAGCAUACUAUCAGAUGAGCCUAGGUCGGAUUAACUAGUUGGCGGGGUAAAGGCCUACAAAGGCGACGAUCCGUAACUGGGCUGAGAGGAUGAUCAGUAACACUGGAACUGAUACACGGUCCAUACUCCUACGGGAGGCAGCAGUGGGGAAUAUUGGAAAAUGGGCGAAAGCCGGAUCCAGCCAUGCCGCGUGUGUGAAGAAGGUCGUCGGAUUGUAAAGCACUUUAAGUUGGGAGGCGUUACCAACAGAAUAAGCACAGGCUAACUUCGUGCCAGCAGCCGCGGUAAUUC